UUCCUCCUGACCCUGUGACCUUAGAUCCACAUAAGUACAGAAGCAGCACAAAGGAGCUGAAAGAAAAUAUACUUCUUUAUUGAAAGCAAAAUGGUGCAACCAACUUCUAGCAUAUGGAAGCAUUUCCACCCGGCAAGUUAUUCUAAAAAAAAAAAUGUGAUUUGCAAAUACUGUCAAAUGAAAUAUGCAUUUCCAAAUGCUACUAGGAUGACCGUACACAUCCUUGUAUGUAAAAAGUGUCCUGCAGAUAUUAAAAAAAUCCUUCAUGGGUGUAAGUGAGGAGGUAGAUCACGAUGAUGAAAGUGCAAGUAGCUCUUUCCAACAUUCUUGAUCCAGCAGUCCUUCAGCUGCUGCUGCUUUUUCUAUAACGUCAGCAUCACAAAGGGUUGCCCAAUCAACAUCCUCAAGUAACCAAAUAUUACAGCCAAAUGUAUACAAAAGACCUUCAAUAGUUUCAUUUGUAGACAAGAUGACACCUGAAGAUCAGGAAAAAAUUGACCAAGCUCUUGAAAGAGCAAUCUAGUCUUCUGGGAUGCUAUUGUCAAUAACU